rnacentral:rRNA from 1 species
AGUAACGCGUGGAUAACCUGCCUCACACAGGGGGAUAACAGUUAGAAAUGACUGCUAAUACCGCAUAAGCGCACAGUCUCGCAUGGGACAGUGUGAAAAACUGAGGUGGUGUGAGAUGGAUCCGCGUCUGAUUAGGCAGUUGGGGGGUAACGGCCCACCAAACCGACGAUCAGUAGCCGGCCUGAGAGGGUGAACGGCCACAUUGGGACUGAGACACGGCCCAAACUCCUACGGAAGGCAGCAG